GUGAACAAUAUCUUAUCUGUCUAUAGAUAAAAUCAAUAACCGGAAAAUAAAUCUAAUUGGUGCGAUGAGCCGGACUGGGUAGUAUGACUCAUAACUACAUAUAGACAAAGUCGCCCGUAACUGACUACUCCUCAGUAGAUGUUGAAUAGAAAAAGGUUUAAAGUCAGUAAAGAAACGCUUAUAAACAAUGAAAGUACUUUAUUAACUGAGACUUGGCAGCCCGUGGUUCACACAAAUGUAAGGUGGGAUACCAACAAAAAGUAUGCCAGUUAAAACUACAUCUCAAAAUGAAUAUUAUGAAUUAUAUUUAAAGGUAUUUUUAAUAAUCUCUUUGAAACAAAUGUUAUUAUCAUAAAGAAAAUUAGGAAUUUGUGUUGUUUUUUAGUUCUAAUAAAUUUUUACUUGUAAGGUGGUAACAUAAGUGAAUAUUUACUAGAAUUAUAUUUUUUUAGGCUAAUUGCAAACCAUGCGAAGUUAAUUAUCAAAAU